rnacentral:sRNA from 1 species
GCGGCGUGGCCCACGGCGUCUCCCACAUGUCGGGUCCCGGCCGUUAGGCUGAAUCGGUGCGCUCCGUCACGGAGCCGCAUAGCCGACAGCCGUCGCAUCCCAGGGAGCACAUCCAUG